rnacentral:rRNA from 1 species
GACGAACGCUGGCGGCGUGCUUAACACAUGCAAGUCGAACGGAAAGGCCCUGCUUUUGUGGGGUGCUCGAGUGGCGAACGGGUGUGUAACACGUGAGUCACCUGCCCUUGACUUUGGGAUAACUUCAGGAAACUUGGGCUAAUACCGGAUUGGAGCUCUUGCUGCACGGUGGGGGUUGGAAAGUUUCGGCGGUUGGGGAUGGACUCGCGGCUUAUCAGCUUGUUGGUGGGGUAGUGGCUUACCAAGGCUUUGACGGGUAGCCGGCCUGAGAGGGUGACCGGCCACAUUGGGACUGGGAUACGGCCCAGACUCCUACGGGAGGCAGCAGUGGGGAAUAUUGCGCAAUGGGCGGAAGCCUGAUGCAGCGACGCCGCGUGCGGGAUGACGGCCUUCGGGUUAUAAACCGCUUUCGCCGGUGACGAGGCGUGAGUGACGGUAAUGAGUAAAGAAGCACCGGCUAACUACGUG